CACAACACAUUUUCUAGGGCACACAAAAAGGGUGAAGUGACGGAGGUGAUUUGGAGACCCUCAACGGCGAAGACAUCUGACGAAGCUUGCCAGAGCCGAUCGGUACCGAAGUACACAUAUGCGGCGUCGAAGAAGACUCGCGAACCUUGCCAAAAUCGAACGGUUGAGGCGUACAUCUACGGAGUCGAACAAUAACUCACCGUCUCAAACACCACCAAUCUUCAAUUAGCUGCGUCGUUGUUGGUAAUGGCUUCCAUACGUACUUCUCCGCGUACCUAAUCCAAAAGCAAAGGCAUUGUGACAGAGAAGUCAAGCAGUCUUAAAAAGACACAGAAUCAGUUCAGCCACAAGGCCUCAUGGGACAAUUACUCAAUCUGAAUUUUCCUGCAGUUGAUUGCAAAUGAGAUUACAAAAGGAAAUCGGCCAUUCUUAGUCAUCAGCCAAGCAGGGUACAAGUCGUUGGCAAGGAAAUUUGAGAAAAAAAUAGGAAGAAAACAUGGCCUCAAACAGUUGAAGAAUAAAUACACGAAUCUGAAAAAAGAGUGGCAAGCGUGGACAAAGUUGAUGGAUUCAAGCAAAGGAGUGUCAGGGAUAGGGUUUGACAGUGAAACUAGUAUGUUUCAGGCAUCUGAGGAGUGGUGGGACAAGAUGGAAUUAAUAAACAAGGUGUGUGCCAAGUUCAGGAAAAAAACUUUGGAACAUCGUGACUUGAUGGAUACGGUCUUUACCGGGGCAUCAGCUACUGGUAAGCACCAUUGAACCCCGAGAGAGAAACUUCCUGAAGCUGCCGAUGACUCAUCUGAUUCUGUGCACAGUUUGGGAGCGCAGCCAUUUGCUGAUCCGAUACCCGCAAGAGUACAGGACAUGGAUUCUGAUUCUUCACUCGAACCUGUUCCUACUGAAAAGGGGAAAAGGAGAAAGACGCCAUCAACAAGUGUUUCAAAGUCGAAGAAGGCAACAAGUGGAGCGACAGUUAUUGCGGAAAGCAUGAACAAUCUAACAAAUGUGGCUCGUACCCAGAAUCAGCAAGUUACAGUGAGCCACCUCACAGAUAACGAAUCACUGUACACAAUUUCGGAGUGCAUGCAUCACCUGACGAAUAUUCCGUCCCUUAUUGGUACACCACUAUUUCAUUUCGCCUCGACACUUAUGGAUAACGCAGAUUAUCGGGAGGUAAUGAUGUGCCAGCCUAAUAACAACCACAUUAUAGGGUGGCUUACAUAAAAGCAGCUCCAGUGUACUGCGUCGGCGCCGUUUGCGAACCUGUUUGGGGCUCGCCGGAUGUGAUAUAGCGAUGUAAUGCUGAAGAUGCCUACCCUUCUCUUGCUUUGGAAAACUUUUAUUUAAGAUAUUGUUGGAACUGUACUAAAACAGGAUGGUUGUGUGUGCAUGUUUUAAACUUUUUUCAAUUUUUUUUUUUUUUUGCUAGCUAUGGUGAACAAAGGUUUGCAUGUUUGUCCGAGUUCAGGAUGGAAGAAUGGUUGUGUGUUUUUUUGGAAUGGAAUAGGAUGGUUGUGUUUGAAUUUUA